rnacentral:rRNA from 1 species
GACGUAGGGGGCCAGCGUUAUUCGGAAUUACUGGGUGUAAAGGGUUCGUAGGCGGUGCGGCAAGUUGGGAGUGAAAUCUCUGGGCUUAACCCAGAGGCUGCUUCCAAAACUGCUGUGCUUGAGUGUGGGAGAGGCGCGUGGAAUUGCAGGUGUAGCGGUGAAAUGCGUAGAUAUCUGCAGGAACACCCGUGGCGAAAGCGGCGCGCCGGACCACUACUGACGCUGAGGAACGAAAGCUAGGGGAGCAAACAGG